rnacentral:piRNA from 1 species
UGGGUAACUUGGGCAAACCGCUAACUGGC